CUACGGGGGGCAGCAGUGGGGAAUAUUGGACAAUGGGGGAAACCCUGAUCCAGCAAUGCCGCGUGUGUGAAGAAGGCCUGCGGGUUGUAAAGCACUUUCGGUUGGGAGGACUGCUUCUAGCACUAAUAUUGUUGGAAGUUGACGUUACCUUCAGAAGAAGCACCGGCUAACUCCGUGCCAGCAGCCGCGGAAUACGGAGGGUGCAAGCGUUAAUCGGAAUUACUGGGCGUAAAGCGCGCGUAGGCGGCUAGAUCAGUCGGGUGUGAAAGCCCCGGGCUUAACCUGGGAACUGCAUCCGAUACUGUCUAGCUUGAGUACGGGAGAGGAAGGUGGAAUUCCACAUGUAGCGGUAAAAUGCGUAGAUAUGUGGAGGAACACCAAUGGCGAAGGCGGCUCUCUGGCCUGAUACUGACGCUGAGGUGCGAAAGCGUGGGGAGCAAACAGGAUUAGAUACCCGCGUAGUC
rnacentral:rRNA from 1 species